rnacentral:rRNA from 1 species
UACAGAGGGGGCGAGCGUUGUUCGGAAUUACUGGGCGUAAAGGGCGCGUAGGCGGCCAACUAAGUCAGACGUGAAAUCCCUCGGCUCAACCGGGGAACUGCGUCUGAUACUGGAUGGCUUGAAUUCGGGAGAGGGAUGCGGAAUUCCAGGUGUAGCGGUGAAAUGCGUAGAUAUCGGGAGGAACACCCGUAGCGAAGGCGGCACUCUGGGCCGGUACUGACGCUGAGACGCGAAAGCGUGGGGAGCGAACAGG